CCUACGGGUGGCUGCAGUGGGGAAUAUUGCGCAAUGGGCGAAAGCCUGACGCAGCGACGCCGCGUGGGUGAUGAAGGCCUUCGGGUUGUAAAGCCCUGUCGGGUGGAACGAACGAUCUGGCGGCGAAUAACCGCCGGGUGUGACGGUACCACCGAAGGAAGCCCCGGCUAACUACGUGCCAGCAGCCGCGGUAAGACGUCGGGGGCAAUGGUUGUUCGGAUUUACUGGGCGUAAAGGGCGCGUGGGCGUCAAAUCCCGCGGCUUAACCGAGGUCCCGCAUCCGAUACUGUCUGGCUCGAGUCUAGGAGAGGAAAGCGGAAUUCCAAGUGUAGAGGUGAAAUGCGUAGAUAUUGGGAGGAACACCGGUGGCGAAGGCGGCUUUCCGGACUAGUACUGACGCUGAGGCGCGAAAGCUAGGGGAGCGAACGGGAUUAGAUACCCCGGUAGUC
rnacentral:rRNA from 1 species